rnacentral:lncRNA from 1 species
GGUGCUCCCCAAAUCCUUCAGGAACCCCUUGAAGACCAGAUGCCUGAGCCAAGAUGUUAGACAACUGGUGAGUUCUCCACACUCAUUCCUUCAGUCAGCAAGCCUGAGCUGGACCGCCUGCCAAGGGGACAUGAAUGCCAGCUGUCACUCUCCUUGUCUCAUAAUUUAAUGAAAGACCGGAUCCCUGAAGCCCACGAGUCACUGUAGUUUUUGCAUAAGGAACUAUUCAUCAAGGCUGAAGUUAGGGUGUCACAACAUCUCUCUUUAUACCAUCCUUCACCAUCAUCCAAAACUUCCUGAAAGAGUCUAUUUAGAGACUAAAACUUUUCCAUGCUGGUCACAAGCCCAAAGCAAAAGAAGAAAAAAAAAAAUUUUUUUUUUUUUUUUUUUGGUAAAGUGUAGGAUGGUCUAUUUGAUCAGCUUUAGUUACUCUCUUUUUCCGAAAUCCAUAAAUAAAACAAGCCAAAACACAGCCUUCCAUUCUAAGAUGUAGCAAGUCCUCAGCAGGGAACACUUUUGGGGCCAGAGAAUGACUUAUAAUAUAAACAUUUAAAUAUUUUACGGAGUUCCUGUUGUGGCGCAGCAGUUAAUGAAACCAACCAGUAUCCAUGAGGAUGUGGGUUCGAUCCCUGCCUCACUCAGCAGGUUAAAGACCUAGCGUUGCUGUGAGCUGUGGUGUAGGUCGAAGAUGAGGCUCAGAUCCUGAGUUGUUGGGACUGUGGCAUAUGCCAGCAGCUACGGCUCUGAUUCAACCCCUAGCCUGGGAACCGCCAUAUGCCACAGGUCUAAAAAGACAAUAAAUAAAUAAAUAUUUUACAAUGAAUAUUUAUAUAUUUUACCUGAAAAAUAUUUAGUUCAUAUUUCCUAAAGUAACAGAAAGAAACAUAAGAAGAUUUCUUCCGCAUUAGGAGGGGAUUUUGUGAAGUGGUUGAUGGAAAGAAGUUCCAGCAGUGGUGGGAUAUGAAAAUGCUUUUUAGCUUUUCCUAGCAUUGGUAUUUAUAAAUUUGGCAGGAAAGAGGGUACAGACUUGAGCCCCUUCAUAGCGUGGCUGUGACCUGGGUUCUGUCAUCUUGGUAAGACCCUGUGGCCACUGUCUGCAGAACUGGCUACAGUUUGGGCCUCUUCUCUGUACCUGCACAGUGUGGUUCUACCAGGCCUGACUGCCUCUGUCUAAUUGCCCAUGGCCGCUUUAUGGGUCUGCCCCUGCUGCUCUCCACCUGGGAUCAUGCUGUGAAUUCAGAGCAGGGCCUUGCUGGAGUUCCUGUUGUGGCUCAGCAGAAAUGAACCUGACUAGUAUCCAUGAGGGUGCGGGUUUGAUCCCUGGCCUCCAUCAGUGGGUUAAGGAUCUGGCAUUGCCAUGAACUGUGGCUUGGAUCUGGCAUUGCUGUGGCUGUGGGGUAGGCCGGCAGCUACAGCUCUGAUUCGCCCCCUAGCCUGGGAACUUCCAUAUGCUGCAGGUGUGGCCCUAAAAAGCAAAAAACAAACAAACAAAAAAGCAUGACCUUGCUGAUCCUGCAGACUUAUGGUGGCAAAGACCACCACCCAGAGACAACUUUCUUUACAGAUCAGGUCCUAGGUGAAUAAGGCCUUUUCCUCUCCCGUCUUUAGUGCCUGCUCCCUAAGAAACCAGCCCAGUGAACUCCCUAGACCUUGACGCCUCACCAGUGCUUAGCAUUCUCUGCCUCAGGCUGCUGAGGGUCUUCGGAGAGGCUGUGUGUGUGGGCCUGGGGACAAAGUCAGUCACUGGGGACUGACUGUGCCUCAGGUAUGUUCCCUCUUUCAUCUUCUCAGGAGCUGAUAAGGAAGGGCUAGUGUCUUCCCUUCUUCCCAGGUAAUUGAAACACCCUUCCAUAAUCAAGCAACAGCUUCAUUUAUUUUGGUUGUAACUUCUGUUUCUUUCUUUCUUCCUUCCUUCCUCUUUAUAUGGCCAUAUCUGUGGCAUAUGGAAAUUCCCAGGCUAGGGGUCAAAUUGGAGCUGUAGCCGAGGCCUGUGCCGCAACUCGCGGCCAUGACAGAUCCUUAAUACACUGAGCAAGGACAGGGAUUGAACCCACAUCCUCAUGAACUCUGUGUAAGGUUCUUAACCUACUGAGCUGCAAUGGGAACUCUUGGUUGCAGCUUUUCUGAUGGGAAGUUUUGGACAGAAAGGAAAAGAGCUGUGACUGCAUGCACCUUCAACCACACCUGCAUUUUAGGUUCCUUAUCACUUCAGUGCAUGCAGGAUCUCAUUGUCAGGAGAACCUGUUUCAACAUUUUCUAUUAAUUAUCACCUGGAGGCAUUGCUAUCAACACUAAUCUGGAAAAUAUACAUCAGGUUUGCAAAAUCCAGAAAAGUUUAAAGUCUUGAGGCAGUGUUACCAAAGAAUUGUAUUAAUAGAAGACCAAUUAAGAAAGGAUUUUUCUUUUUUUUCUGGCCAUGCCAGUGGUAUGAAGAAGUUCCCCAGGCCAGGGAUAGAAUCUGUGCUACAGCAGUGACAAUGCUGGCUCCUUAAAUGCUAGACCACCAGGGAACUCCAAGAAAGGCUAUGAAGGACAUAAAAACAAAAAACCAGCAUGGAGUUAAGGAUCCGACAUUGUCACUGGUGUGGCUCUAAUCAUUGCUGUGGCGCAGGUUCAAGCCCUGACUGGGUAACGCCACAUAACUUGGGCGUGGCCAAAAAAAAAAAACACCACCCACAAACAACAGAAAUAGAACCAUAAUCUUCCAGGCCCCUAUGUUUAGUUUAAGGUCAGAGGCAUUGCAAUCUCCCGAAAGGCAUGCUGUUCUCUAAAUAAGUUCUCUGGUUCAGGCUGUUGGAUGGCACAUAACUGCCAAGGCAGCAGAAUUCGCUGGAAGUUUCCAGCAUCAGGUUUCUUGGAACAGGUUUGUUUGUGGCUUUAGUCUGCUAAAACUGAUUACUUUGCCGUGGUGGUGCUGAUUCUUCAUGGUAAUUCGUUCAUAUCUUACAUGAUGUUUUCAAUCAUUGUACACUUGGAGGCAUACACCUGGCUAAGCACUUGGGUUUAAUAAUCCUUUUUCCUGUUGCUUAUUAGACCCAAGUUAAACAAUCCUUCAUCUGGAUGGUUUGGUGUAAGCAGGCCUCUAGGAAAGGAGAUGGGCUUAUUAACCUCGAUGGGCCUCUUCUCUCAAAAUUUUCAUGUAACUUUAUGGUACAAUGAUCUUUGUUUACUAGAGUUAUCUUUAAAAAGCACUGUAGAGAGAUUAUUGCAACAUGUAUUUGACAAACAUUUAUCUGUUUUGAAUAAUAGAUAUGUUAUUAACCACUACAACAAAAUGAUGAGAAAUUUACCUAUGCAGAGUUCAUAGUCAAAUGGAAGAACACAAUAAAAUAAUUAGAAGAAAUUAAAAUCAAAACACAAUAAAAAUAGAUUGCUUUUGUACUUAAUCUUAUAAUAGCAGUAUAUGCAAACUGCUGUGGAACCUCCAAAGAAUGAGUUGCUAACCAGAUCUGUACUGGGACAGUGUGCUGGACAGGAUAAAUACAAUUUUAUUCACAAAAAUGAUGUAGCUACUAAAAAGAAGCUAAUAUGGGAGUUCCCAUUGUGGCUCAGUAGUAACGAACCCGACUAGUAUCCAUGAGAAUGCAGGUUCAAUCCCUGGUCUCGAUCAGUGGGUUGAGGAUCCAGCAUUGCUGUGAGCUGUGAUGUGAGUCACAGACUUGGCUCAGAUCUGGCAUUGCUGGCUGUACCUGUGGUGUAGGUCAGAAGCUGCAGCUCCAAAUCAACUCCUAGCCUAAGAACUUCCAUAUGCUGCAGGUGUAGCCCUAAAAAGCAAAAAAUAAAUAAAUUGAAAAUUAAAAAUAGGGAGUUCCCGUCGUGGCGCAGUGGUUAACGAAUCUGACUAGAAACCAUGAGGUUGCGGGUUCGGUCCCUGCCCUUGCUCAGUGGGUUAACGAUCCGGUGUUGCCGUGAGCUGUGGUGUAGGUUGCAGACAUGGCUCGGAUCCCGAGUUGCUGUGGCUCUAGCGUAGGCUGGCAGCUGCAGCUCCGAUUAGACCCCUAGCCUGGUAACCUCCAUAUGCUGCAGGAGCGGCCCAAGAAAUAGCAAAAAAAAAAAAAAAAAAAAAAUUAAAAAUAAAUAUAAGCUAAUGUGACCUUGGGGUCCAUUAGUAGAAAUAUAACAUCUAGAAUGCAGAAUAGUAAAUAUAUGUAGUAACUCCUCUGGACUAAUGUAGCAAUGUAUGGAAUAUUGGGCUCAAUUUGGGGCCAAAAUUAGAAGGAUAUUAAGAAACCGUAGGUUCAUUCAGAGGACUAUCCACAAUGAACAAAAUGAAUAAUAUUUAGUUCAACUGGGAUACCCAGAGAAAACUCCAGGAGAAACAUGCCAAUAGUCAGCAAAUAUCUGAAGUGUUUUUAUGGAAAGAUUAUUAUAUUUACAUUCCACAGGACCUCAAGUGUAAAGUAAAUAAAUACACGUUAUGAUGGAUGCAAACAGCAGCAUGCUAGUUCUGACUAAAGUUAGGAAGACUCUUCCAAGAAUCUAAGCUACCUUAUAGUAUAAGCUGCUUCCUGAGAUUGUCAUCACAGGGUUUAACUGAGGCUAGAAUUUUUGUAGAGAACAUUGCAAAUGCACACAAGCAUCGGCUGAGCAAUAAACUGAGCAAUCUUUUUGGUCCCUCCCAAAUCUUAGGCUUUAUGACCGAAGUUGUGGUUUUUAAUGUUAUGCAUCAUUUCCAAAACAUAACAAAGUAGAUGAGUGUUCUUUUAAUCUGUGCCUUUCGAUUGUCAUAUGACCAAUGCAUGACAGUUGUGGAUAAUAAAUGAAUCACAGAGCAAGUGACAGUCCUUACAUCCAUACCAAGGCCUUGGUAGUUAAUAAUAAAGGUUAUUCGGGAGUUGCCCUUGUGGCUCAGCAGAUUAUGAACCCAACUAGUAUCCAUGAGGACAUGGGUUCAAUCACUGGCCUCUCUCCGUGGGUUAAGGAUAUGGCACUGCCAUGAGCUGCAGUAUAGGUCAGACACAGCUUGGAUCCCAUGUUGCUGUGGCUGUGGUAUAGGCCAGCAGCUGCAGCACUGAGUCAACUCCUAGCCUGGGAACUUCCAUAUGCCAAUAAAUAAAUAAAUAAGUGAGUGAAUGAAUAAAUGUCAUUCUCUACCACCAGGGAAUCUUAUGAUUCAAAAUCAUUAGGGAAAAUAUACACCAAAAAACAAACAAAUGAAGUCAGCAUGUUAGUGUAGAAUGAAGGCUAGGGUGAAGGCUAGGAGAGAAGCAGUAUUAGGAAGAGGCAAUGGUGGGGCAAAAAGUACAGGAAAAUCCCUCAGCAAGAAUAGGAGUACAGCUGACACUUAACAUGUUUUUUAACCUAGUGCAGGAUGCUAUUCCCAAAGUUUCACUUUCACUUUGUGUAUAAAUCCUCCCAACAACCCUAUGAGUUAGGUCUUAU